GCACACAUUUUAUUUGAAAGCAUUGAAUAAGUAGCUCAGGCUCUCGCUCAGACUUAAGGGGCUGAUGAACUACGCCCCCGCCGCAACCAGCUUUCUCUGCACCCCAAUCCAGCCCCGCUCCAGACGACGGGCUUAGAUUCUGCUAUCACGUAGGCAGUGAGCCUGGGGAAGAUGCGAUGCCUCCCUUGAAACCAUCAAGACAGAUAUCCGCUGGUUUUAGGGUGUCCCCCAAGGCAAGCAUCUGGGACGCCUCCGGCAUAUGCUCGCCCUCGGGGCCCGACCAGGAGGCUCCAGCUUUGCAAGGCGCCACCGCCCAGAGCUCAGGUCUGGGUUGGAAGGGUGGGCGGCACCGCCUCAGGGUACGUUCUCCCGACUUCGGAGAGAAAGAAAGGAAGAAAUGCACCCUAGGAAAAGGGGCUUCGACUUUUUGUGCCUGUGCUUUCAUGGAAGUCACCAGCUCUCGGCUGCUUAAGAUGCUACUCAGAAGCGCGCCCAGCCAGGCUGUGGCCAUCCGCGCCAAGUCCUCGUGUCCUGGUCGACGAGCACUUUGGGUAGCACCGCGACACACAAUAGCCACCACGGUUAGGAGAUAUGCUCGCUAUGCUUACCUGUUGGCAAAAAUAAAAUGCAAAAUAAAAAUUUAAAUUUGGAAACUAACACAUGGUGACAUCUUCUAGAACCACAGCUCUUUCUUCAGACAAAAGCCAAUUUUACCAUCCCGCAAACCCAUUGAGCCCUGGAAGUUCCGUUCGCGGCACUUUGGCGCCCUCUGGCUUUAUCAGGGUGGCUUGCUUGUUCUGCUUCGUCCUGAAAGAAUAGCGGAGGGGGGGGGGAAUGGAAAUGUAUGUUGCCUUCUUGGUUGGAUCUCCCCUCAUGAGUGAAGCACAGAUUUGGGAUGAGCUUGCCCUCCACGUCCGGAAUAACGAAACACAACUACAUUUAGGGAGACGAAUGCCAAAGGUAACAGGAACACCAGGAAAGGAGGAGACUGAAAUGGAUGAAGGAAGGGUCACCACCACCACCCCUUGGGCCAGGAAAGAAACCUGGCAGCUGUGAAGAAGGAAAAUGGUUUUCUACAACUACUUCUUGUGAGAGGCAGUCCCAUGGUAGCUCACUGCAUCUCAUCCUAUUGAGCAAGGGCUCUUAACAUCAUCCCUCUGGGUUCAUGUUUACCUGCCUCUGGACUGAAUAGUCAUCUAUUUCCAAACUUUUGUGAGUCUAGAUGUCAAGCUCAACUUAUCAGUGAAACACAUGAGGUCAUCCGAAAUGCUGACAAAAGACAGUUGGGGUACAAUGGAAAUCCAGACCUUGACUGUAUGCUAAGAAUGAGUAAGCACGACUGAACACAGCAUCCGCUUAGAGAUGUUCUCAAAGCCAAGCCAUCCCACUGAGCAUGUUAUUCUCACAGCACCUUUAAAAGAAGUUUGUUUUCCCAAAUUGAGAUAAAGGAGUGGGCGCAGCUUGUUGGAGUAAGACACCAACGGAAUCCUCUUGGGGGUUCCACCAUUUGGAACUGCAACAUCCAUUGCUGGCCCCAGCCUGAGAUGGCUGUUCCUCCUUUGAUGUUGAGAUGGUGCCUGACCCACGAGCUACAGCAAAUCAGCUGAGUCACUCAGGGAGGAGUGGAGGAGCCAUCGUGGGCCAGGUGCCAGAUAAAAUACUGGUGAUUUAAGCUCCAAAGAUACAACCCAAGAACUGACGAAGCUCUGACACAGUGAUGUAGGGGAAGAAACCAAACACCAGCACUGACUCCCUUCGCUGUGCACCGCUGCAAAGACCUCUGGGAGAUUGGCUCUAGAAAUCCCCGCUGCUGGCGACUGUCAGCAGUUACAUGAAGGCAUGGGGGAGCCUCGACUCUACUUACAAAGCCUGACCUGUGCUUCGGAUAUUCCUGUGUUUCCAAGAUGCCUUUCCAGACUAGAACCCAGACAUGUGAGCCGCUGGCCGAACACAACAGUCUUCCUUUAGUAUCUUCACAUGGCCAGGAGCAGAAAGGAAGAGCCACCUUCUCUCCAGUCUCCACUGUAGUACCAUUGACCCCCAUUAGGAAGACCCCACCUGUAUGAUCUAAUCUGACCCUACUAUGAUACCUCCCAAAGACGCCACUCUUCACUGGAUGCUAGAAAUUCAACAUGUAAACCAUGAGGCAAGAGGGACGCCAAUCUGAGUGCAGUCAUCAUGUCCUCUUCCCUUUGACCAAUGUCUGAUGGGAAGCAGCCUAAAGAGGAAGAGGUUACAGUUCAAGGGAUACAGCCCAUGAUGGUGGAUAAGGCAUAAGCACAGAGCCAGCUCUUGCCUGUGGAGGUGGGAGUGGGAGGCUGCUUGUUCACCUCUGGACACACCAGGAAGCAGACAGUUGGUUCAGGCAAUGACUUAUAAGGUCCACCACCAGUAACCUACUUUUUCCAGCAAGAUACCACGCCUUAGAGACUCCAUGACCUCCUAAAAUAGGACGAUUUACUCAAGCCUCCGCAGGACAUUUCACUUCAACCCACAGCAAUGUCGGCCAUAGGGCAUCCAAGAUGUACUUCAUGUGGCAUCAGCAAUACAAUCCAUGCAACACUAGUAAUGCAUGUGGGAUCUCGUCAGUAGGUUUUCACUACAAUUACUCAGCAAAUACUUUAACAACACCUUCCUGUCUUAUCAAGGUCAUUCUCAAAUCUCUGCUGUUUCUCAGUGUAGAGAUUAAAAAUGCCAUCUAAUGCAGUAA
rnacentral:lncRNA from 1 species